rnacentral:rRNA from 1 species
AGCGUCAAAAGGGCAUCCGGGGGAUGUCUUGGCGGUAAGAGGCGAUGAAGGACGUGGCACUCUGCGAUAAGCACGGGGGAGGCGAGAGCACCCUUUGAUCCCGUGAUUUCCGAAUGGGGAAACCCAUCUCCGAGAUGUUUGACUAUAACCCAACUUCUGUUGAGUGAUGGUCAUACAUUUCAAUAGUGAGAUAUAAUACACUGAAUACAUAGGUGUUAUUAAGCAAACCCGGGGAAUUGAAACAUCUAAGUACCCGGAGGAAAGGACAUCAAUUGAGACUCCCUUAGUAGCGGCGAGCGAACGGGGACCAGCCGAGCCAUGAAUGUGACUAGAACGACCUGGAAAGGUCGGCCAUAGCGGGUGACAGCCCCGUAUAGGAAG